AGAACUUAGAAUCUCUUGAACUUUUUCAAUCAUGCUCUUUUUGCCUUUGGCUUUGAUGAAAGUACUGUGGUCCUAUUGUCUCUCCCUUGGUUACAACCAAAGUUAUGACCAGGAACCUAGGAACCACCUCAAUUAGCACCUUAGUAGGCUGACUCUAGUGUGUGUGUGUGUGUGUGUGUGUGUGUGUGUGUGUGUGUAGCAGCGUGUAGAGUGGGAAUAACAAUGUUCUUUACUUAGGUUUGAUUUUUACCAUUAACGUUUUGUUUUGUUUUGUUUUUUUGGUCAGGGUCUCACUAUGUAGCCCUGACUGACUUGGAAACUCAACUAUGUAGACCAGGCUGGCCUUGGAACUUACCGAGAUCUUGCCUCUGCCUCCCGAGUGCUGGGAUUAAAGGUACAUGCCUCAUGCUCCACCAAGUUUUAAAAACUGGAAACAUGGGCAUGUGGAGAUGGUUGAAUGGCUGAGAAUGCUUGGUGAUCGAGCAAAGGGCUAGCUUUCACUUCCUGACAUACAUAUCAGGUAGUUUACAACUAACUGCCCUUCAGGUGAGCUCCGGGGACCCCGCUCAUGUGUCCGUGUUCUGUCUGGUGGGCCGUCUAGUGUGCUUUUUGCACUGCCUUGGACUUGGAGACAAACACGUUCUAGAGAAACUAGACAUAUGCUAAGGGCAGAUUAUGUGAUGGAAUAAUUGUAAUCAGUAUGCUCAUUCUUGUGUGAGAAAGGCCUACACUACUGCUAAAUAAAAUUAUUUUGAGUUCUUGAAGAGGGUAUAUUUAGAUCUUUUUCCUUUUUCUUUUUCCCUUUAACAAAUUGUAGAGAAAAAAAUAAACCAUGAGUUAUUUCCUAAACUAUCUGCCAUGAAGAGUGCCAUGUAGUAGCUCGAUUUUUGACACCUGUCUCAAGUGGUUUGCUUCUUCUCUAAGUCACAGUGAAGGCGGAUCUGGGUGCAGGCCUGGGAGCCCAGCUUCUCAGAAGGCUGAGACCAAGAUGGUGAAAGUUCAAGGCCAGCCUGAGCUACUUAGUGAGACCCUGUAGGGGAAAAAAGGCCUGGGGAAGUCACUUGCCUAGAGUUCACAAGGCCCCAGCUUCAGUCCUCAGCACAGAGACAGCUGUGAGAGAGAGCGCAGCCCUCUGCCUCACACAGGGCUGCUGUGGCCCUGUAUUUCCUCGGGUCCUUCUUUCUAAGUAUUUCUUUCCUUGAGAUUCUUUAAGACUAUUUCCAUGCUUCAGUAUCUUAAUUUCAGGAAAUGAUGCAUAUUGUUUAUGUUAUCAUGAGACUCUGAGUAUCCAUGUUAAUGGUUUUUAUUUGCUUUUUCCUUUCAUUUUCUUUCCUUUUAUCUAUAUAAUCUUAUCUAUCUAUCUAUCUAUCUAUCUAUCUAUCUAUCUAUCUAUCUAUCUAUCUAUCCAUCCAAACACUUCAUGUAUCCCAGGCUGGCUUGAACUUGCUGAGUUGUAAGGAAUGUCCUUGAAUAUCUGAUCUUACCUUCACCUCCCAAGUGCUAGGAUUGUAAGAAUGAGCUGCUAGGUUGGCUUUUAUGGUGCUAGGCAUAAAACCCCAGGGCUUUUUACAAGUACUCUAUCAAGGUAUCUUUUCAUUUUCUCUUGUUCCAAAAGAAUGUGUCUUGGGUUCUAGCAAAGUACAUAUGUUACACACAUGAGUAGUGAAGACUGAUUUAGUUAGACAUGGUGAUGUGUGCCUGUAAUCACAGCCCUUGGGAGGCUGACGCAAGACUACUUGCCUCAGCAAUUUUGGGUCAACCUAGUUAACUUAAUGAGUCUCUGUCUU
rnacentral:lncRNA from 1 species